AGUGAACGCUGGCGGUAGGCCUAACACAUGCAAGUCGAACGGCAGCACAGGAGAGCUUGCUCUCUAGGUGGCGAGUGGCGGACGGGUGAGGAAUACAUCGGAAUCUGCCCAGUCGUGGGGGAUAACGUAGGGAAACUUACGCUAAUACCGCAUACGACCUUCGGGUGAAAGAGGGGGAUCGCAAGACCUCUCGCGAUUGGAUGAGCCGAUGUCGGAUUAGCUAGUUAGCGGGGUAAUGGCCCACCAAGGCGACGAUCCGUAGCUGGUCUGAGAGGAUGAUCAGCCACACUGGAACUGAGACACGGUCCAGACUCCUACGGGAGGCAGCAGUGGGGAAUAUUGGACAAUGGGCGCAAGCCUGAUCCAGCCAUACCGCGUGGGUGAAGAAGGCCUUCGGGUUGUAAAGCCCUUUUGUUGGGAAGGAAAUCUUUCAGGCUAAUACCCUGGGAGGAUGACGGUACCCAAAGAAUAAGCACCGGCUAACUUCGUG
rnacentral:rRNA from 1 species